rnacentral:rRNA from 1 species
AUACGGAGGGCGCGAACGUUGCUCGGAAUCAUUGGGCGUAAAGCGCACGUAGGCGGCCUGAUAAGUCGGAUGUGAAAGCCCACGGCUCAACCGUGGAAGUGCAUUCGAAACUGUCAGGCUUGAGUAUGGGAGAGGGUUGCGGAAUUCCCGGUGUAGAGGUGAAAUUCGUAGAUAUCGGGAGGAACACCAGCGGCGAAGGCGGCAGCCUGGACCAAUACUGACGCUGAGGUGCGAAAGCGUGGGGAGCAAACAGGAUUAGAUACCCCAGUAGUCC